rnacentral:rRNA from 1 species
GUAUCCUGGCUCAGGAUGAACGCUGGCGGCGUGCCUAACACAUGCAAGUCGAACGAAGCAUUUUAGAUGAAGUUUUCGGAUGGAUUCUGAGAUGACUGAGUGGCGGACGGGUGAGUAACACGUGGAUAACCUGCCUCACACUGGGGACAACAGUUAGAAAUGACUGCUAAUACCGCAUAAGCGCACAGUACCGCAUGGUACGGUGUGAAAAACUCCGGUGGUGUGAG